GACGAAGGGGGCUAGCGUUGUUCGGAAUUACUGGGCGUAAAGCGCGUGUAGGCGGUUGUCCAAGUUGGAUGUGAAAGCCUUGAGCUUAACUCAAGAAAUGCAUUCAGGACUGGGCGACUAGAGGACCGGAGAGGAUAGUGGAAUUCCCAGUGUAGUGGUGAAAUACGUAGAGAUUGGGAAGAACACCAGUGGCGAAGGCGGCUAUCUGGACGGUUUCUGACGCUAAGACGCGAAAGCGUGGGGAGCAAACAGG
rnacentral:rRNA from 1 species